rnacentral:misc_RNA from 1 species
AAGUCGUAACAAGGUUUCCGUAGGUGAAUCUGCGGAAGGAUCAUUACCUUUCUGGCUACUUAAUAGCUUGUCUGGGGGCUGCAUCUGGGGGCUGCAGUUUCUGCAGUCUCUGGCUACAUCCGUGUUUUUUGCGUACUACAUGUUUCCUCGGCGGGCUUGCUUGCCGGUCGGACAAAACUAAAACUCUUUGCAAUUGCUAUCAGCGUCUGAAAUUAUAUAAUAAUUACAA